AACGAACGCUGGCGGCGUGCUUAACACAUGCAAGUCGAACGAGAAAGGGACCUUCGGGUCCUGAGUAGAGUGGCGCACGGGUGAGUAACACGUGGAUAAUCUGCCUGAUGGACAGGGAUAACACCCCGAAAGGGGUGCUAAUACCAGAUAAGCCCACAGCAUCUACGGAUGCAGCGGGAAAAGGGGGCCUCUUCAUGAAAGCUUCCGUCAUCAGAUGAGUCCGCGGUCCAUUAGCUAGUUGGUAGGGUAACGGCCUACCAAGGCGACGAUGGAUAGCUGGUUUGAGAGAAUGAUCAGCCACACUGGAACUGAGACACGGGUCCAGACUCCUACGGGAGCAGCAGU
rnacentral:rRNA from 1 species